rnacentral:rRNA from 1 species
UACGUAGGUGGCAAGCGUUGUCCGGAUUUAUUGGGUUUAAAGGGUGCGUAGGCGGCUUUGUAAGUCAGUAGUGAAAUACCCCAGCUCAACUGGGGGGGUGCUAUUGAUACUGCAUGGCUUGAGUACAGAUGAGGUAGGCGGAAUUGACGGUGUAGCGGUGAAAUGCAUAGAUAUGUCACAGAACACCGAUUGCGAAGGCAGCUUACUAAGCUAUGAUUGACGCUGAGGCUCGAAAGCGUGGGGAUCAAACAGG